ensembl:lncRNA novel transcript
UAUUAAUAAUUGUUCAUUAAAAUCAUUGUGUCUCAGAGGCAACCACAUUUUUCUAGUCAAUUUUGGCUUUAAUUGUGGCUGUCCUAAGACUUUUGGUCAUCCAAAAGUGGUCUUGUUUUGGUUCUCUUUAAAAGGUGGUUUAGAAUUAACUGUAGGACUCUACUGGUGCUUUUAAAUGCAGAUUUCUGAUAAGUUUGGACAUUGUGACAUCAGAACAGAGGGAAACCUUUCAGGACUCAGGGAGAGCUAAAAUGUUCAUAAAUAUCAAGCAGAACAGAAGUUAACUGCAUGGACUAAACUAGCAAAAGUCUAAAGUAACCUUUUUAACUUUUUGUGUAAAAUGUUGCUGAUCUUUUGUGUUUCAGAGUCAAGAAAACUUUUGAGCUAUUAUAGCUUUUAGCAAUUGAGUAAAGUAUACUUGUGUGAACAAAAUUGAGAGCAUAUUUUUUUCUUUUUACCUGAUUUCUCUGGAUUUUGUAAACUAGUUGUGAGUAUUCUUAAUUUAUGGCAAUAUAGUUAUUUGCAUGAGUGUAAUAAGAAUCUGUUGGGUUUUGUUUUGUUUUCUUUAUUAUUAUUAUUAUUUUUGGCAACAAGACACAAUUGGAGAAACUGAUUAUUUUACGAAGACUUUGAUGGAAUGGUAUACUCUCCUUUAAGGAAUCAAACUUGACUUGCCAAGUCAAUAAAAGCCCCUUGGAGAAAUGGCCUCAGACCUUUGCUACAACAGUCCCUGUACGUGAUUUCUGACCUGUGGUAAGUAAAUAAUGUCACCUUCUAACAGGUCCAGGAGCCCCAAGUUAUCUUGGGACCCCAAGAGGAGAGGAAUUUACUAAACUCAUAGGUAUUUGAGGGUACAAACCCAUGGUAGGGCUCAGCUCAAAAAGAGUCUUAUCUAAGAUUCCUUCUAAGAAACAAAGUUUCAUCAAAGCCAGUGUUAAAAGUCUAUGUGAAAAAUAAUUAUUCUUGCUGUACUUUAUACAAAUAAUCAGGCCAAGUAUAAUAAAGCAAAUUAGUCUCACUAUGACUUAUCUUUAGUGAAAAUGGAAAACAGGAGAGAGAAUAUUAUGUUUCAAGACCUAUGUUACACUUGUUAUUAAAUUCUAGUCUCAUCAGUUGUUAAGUUUGUUUCUGCAGUUUAGGCUAACCCUGCUUCUUCCUGUGAACCAACCGGUGAUCUUUGUUUGCUACUCUGAAAAAACAAGACAUUUUGGUAAUGUAAAAAUCUGGAUCAGUAUUCUAAUUCUGGGCAUGUAUUGGAAUUGGCUAACCACCUCAUGUCAGCUUGGUUCCAGUAGUUGCCCAGUUCAUGAAGAGCCUUAUAAUUUAGUUUAUUUGGGAUAAUUUUGCUUAUUUUGUUAUAUUGCUGUUUUACUCUUUGUGUAGGAAUGCAGACUAAGCUUGCUAAAUGUUUUCUUAAACUAAAUACUUAUUAGUCUUUCAGAUAUCACCUUUCAUCAGGACUCAAGAGUUCUGAAUGGCCUUCAUCAUACUGAGGCUUUCUGACUGAGCUCCUCUCUACCCUGAACACAGAGACCCUAAUAGUUAGGCAGGAAUAUCAUUUCCCCUAUUCAGCCUGAAGAAGUUACAGAAGAUGAAUCUUUGUCCCCCUACAACCUUAGGAUUAAGGGUUCUCUUAUAAAAGGGAGGGAGGAAAUGUCUAAGACAUGUGAACUAGAGCAACUUCAUCCUGAAGAGGAGCUGAGUAAAAUAAGGCUGAAACCUACUGGGCUGCAUUCUUAGACAGUUAAGGCAUUCUAAGUCACAGGAUGAGAUAGGAGGUUAGCACAAGAUACAGGUCCUUAAAACCUUGCUGAUAAAACAGUUUGCAGUAAAGAAACCAGCCAAAACCCACCAAAACCAAUAUGGCCACGAGAGUGACCUCUGGUCAUCCUCACUGCUACACUCCCACCAGCGCCAUAAUAGUUCACAAAUACCAUAGCAACAUCAGGAUGUAACCCUGCAUAAAUAAUGCACCCCUUGUUUAGCAUAUGAUCAAGAAAUAACCAUAAUAAUAGGCAACCAGCAGCCCUCAGGGAUGCUCUGUCUUUGGAGUAGCCAUUCUCUUAUUCCUCUACUUUCUUAAUAAACUUGCUUUCACUUUACUCAGACUCCUCAUAAAUUCUUUCUUGCACAAGAUCCAAGAACCCUCUCUUGGAGUCUGAUUGGGACCUUUUUCUUGUGACAGAUUCUGCCAGUUUCUGUUCUUGGCAGGUUCCAUUUCUACAAAUUCCUCAUCUCUAUAGGUUUAGGAUCAGAAUGUUCCAGCAGGGGAGCAUUACAGCUGUUUCAAUCCUCAGGGAGACUACUCAUCUUGGGAAUAAUUCCUUCCUGGAGUGAUUGGAAAAUAAUUCCUAAAAGAAAUUGAAAAGUCAAAUUGUUGAACGAACUGAGCUGGUCUAAAGGUGCAUAUCUUGGUAAGGCUCUGUGAAGAAAUGACCUAAUCUGGAGAGAAGCUGUUGGGACACUCGUCUGUGUGUGGCCUGUGGCUCACAGGGGGCUCAUGAACGUCACAGACCCUGAGAUACCGGUCUCACUGUCCUCAACUAUCAAAUGAGGAGGUUGCACCAAAGAACCCCUAAAGCCCCUCCCACCUCUAAUCGCCUAUGGGACUGUCCAUUCUUCUUAAGGAUCAUUAUAGACACACAGCAGGGAACAUAAAGUAGACAAAUUCUGAGAAACAGCUAAGAAAAGUACUACAGACCCACCAGAAUGGGAGUAUAAAUUGGGCUUCAUCUGCCCCAUUGCAACCUAGACUUCCUUUGCCUUAUGAUUUGGCUCAAUGGCAUCUGUGACAAGGUAGCUUGAAGUUGACACCAGUGCAUCCCUGGAGAUUGGAUGGGCUGGGCUCAGAAUCCCAUACAUCCUUUACAGCCUUUUUUUUCCUCACCCUAUCCAUACCCUCACCCUACUAGAAUUAUGCAUGCACUUGUUGAAAACAGCCCUAGCAAAGUAAAUCUAGGCUCCUUAGGCCAUGAUUAAGGGCCCUUGAAGAAGUCAAAUUACCUAAGAAACUCUAGACAUGCACUCUCCAAUAUGCAAGCCACUAGUUCGUGUCUACUGAGCUCCUGAAUUGUGGCUAGUGCUAAUGGAGAUGUGCUGUAAGCAUGAAAUGCACACCAGAUGUACAAGACUUAGUAUGAAAAAAUAUAUUAAAAUCUCAUUAAUAGUAA